UUCAGGACAGAUUGGCCUUUAUACUAAAUUCCACAAUAUACCUGGUAUUAGUACAGCCUGAAUCCGGGGCUGGUCACAGAAGGAAAAAGGUUGUAGUCCCUGAAAACAGAGUGUUACAAGGACAUACACACUACAGAUGUCUCCACGGUGGGAUCUGCCCACACUGGCUGGGCAAAAUGAGGGCCUGGCUGGCAGGUGCUAAUAUAUUUCAGGGAAGAGAAGGGAACCAAAGAAUUAGAGAUACUAAAACUAGAGCUGAGACUGUAAUUGGAAAAUCACAAAUCUUUGCCUACAGCUACUUUCUAAGGGGCAAAGGCCCACAAAGCCUGGGCGCAGGUGCCAAGCCACAGUCUCUGAACCUUAAAAGCCAACCACUCUAUUAACAACUAGAAAAAAUCAGUGACUAGGGUCAAGACUGAACACUCCCGGGAAAUAACACUGGCCUCACUUUAGAAAAGAGAAACACCCAGCUGUAGUGUGGAAAAUCUUACUUGUUAUCGGCAAUAGCACUACAUCUUGUUUCCCCUAGGUAGCUGCUUCCAGGGAAUGGUGACAAGUAUUGGCAGUCAGUCAUCUACAUGUCACUGAGGCACAGGGGAGGGUGGCCAGGAGCACGAGGAUGUGAAUCGACCUACUAUUUAAUAUAAUGGCUGUGAGAAAAGGCCUCUUUCCUUUCCUUUCCACUUUUGCUCCACCCUAUCAGGAG
rnacentral:lncRNA from 1 species